GUAAAACAGCACUCAGCGGUGAGUUUGACCAAAGCAACGCUCAACUGCAGGGAAAACGACAUAAAAGUUCAUCAUCUCUAUGAAAUCACGUUCAAGAAGUCUCAUUCAGCACACAUCGCGAUACUUGCCAUCAGUUUCCAUGUGCCACAGGGUCGCUGAAAAGAUGUAAAGGAAGCAGUCAUCCCUGUGGUGUUUGUGGAGAGGUUUUCCUUCAGAAAUGGAGAAGACAAAAAGCUGCGGAGGCAGACAUUUGCAGCAGGAAGUCUGUGUUGGUUUUACCUUUUUAUCAAACUGCUGUUAUAAAUUGCACAGCAUUUGUUGUUUCUUAAACUUUUGCACUGUCCAAAUACCCACACUUACCAUCUUUGCACUUGACCAAUCGAUUAUUUAUUUGACGUAUUUCCUAUGUUUAGGCCAAGUGUUCGAGUGAGCAUGGUGACCACAAGUGUGUGUCGAACUUUUCAUGACCUGAUGACAGUGGUUCCCGUUCCUGAUCCUGGAGAACCCCAGCACUGCACGGUUUUGGCGUCUCUCUUAUCUCACAAACACACUUUUGAGGUCUUGGAGUCUUCACUGAUGAGCUGAUGAGUUGAAUCAGGUGUGUUUGAUCAGGGAGACAUCUUAAAUGUGCAGUGUUGGGCUUCUCCAGGACCAGGAUUGGGAGCCACUGCCUUAUGGGACACACUUAAGUGUUUACAGAGAUUUUUAGUUUGAUCAUUCAAC